rnacentral:rRNA from 1 species
AAUGAUAUGGGCAAUGGAUAUCUUGGCUCUCGCAUUAAUGAAGAGAGUAGCAAAAUGCAACACUUGGUGUGAAUUGCAGAAUCUUGUGAACCAUUGAGUCUUUGAAUGCAAGUUCUACCCUAAGCCAUUAGGUCGAGGGCACGCUUGACUGGGUGUCAUGCAUUGUUACCCCUUCCAACCCCCCACCCAUAAGGCUCUAGAUGAAGGGGCAAAAGAUGACCUCCCACAAUCUCAUUAGUCAUGUUGGCCUAAAAGCAAGUCCCUGGCAACAAUAGUGCCAUGUCUAUUUAUGGCAAAGCUUUCGGUGUGCCUCAUCUUCGGUGAUGUGCGCUUGUUGUCCAUUUGGACCCCAUCAGACCCCUCGCAUUGCAAACCCACAUUAGGCGAGAUUACCCACUGAGUUUAGGCAUAUCAAUAUGCAAAGAAAAUAAACUUACUAGGAUUCCCCUAGUAACGGUAAGUGAACUAGGAAUUAUAGUAUGGAGAAGCAUCUUCAAUGAUGGACCAGGCACAAGUCCAGUAAAAAAGGGUGCCAGAGAGGGUGAGAGCCUUGUUGUGCCUAGACCCUAUCACACCAUGAGGCAUAGUUCAGAAGUUGGAUUGUUUGGGAAUGUAGCCCCAAUUAGGUCGUAAAUUCCAUCCAAGGCUGAAUAUGGGCGAGAGAUGGAUACCAAACAAUUACCAUGAGGGAAUGAUGAAAAAGACUUUAAAAAAAAAGUCAAAGAGUGCUUGAAAUUGUCGAUAGGGAACUAAAUAGGGGCCAAUGAUGUGCCUCGAUUGGAUGUGGAAUGAUGAGAGCCAGUCUAUCGAUCAGCUCAAAGGCAUGGAUCGAUACAAGUCACUAUGGCCUAAGCUCAGGCUUUCAAUAUACCCACGAAGAUGUCUUCACCAUGAUCAUGGAAUGUAGCACGCUUCAUCUUAGAGUUCUUGGCACCGAUGUGCUCCUCAUGUUGGGUUGUGAGCUCCCCAUCCAGCCCAUCUUGAAACACGGACCAGGGAGUCUGACAUUUGUAUGAAUCAACAGGCUAGAAAACCCAUAAGGCAUAAGGAAGCUGAUUGGCAAGAUCCCUCAUUAGUGCACUGUCGAUCAACCUUAAUCUUCUGAGAAAGGUUUGAGUGUGAGCAUGCCUAUCCAAACCUCAAAGAUGGUGAACUAUGCUUGAGUGGGGCAAAGUUAGAGGAAACUCUAGUAGAGGCCCACAGUGAUAUUAAUGUGUAAAUCAUUUGCCUAACUUAGGUAUAGGUGUGAAAGACUAAUUAAACCAUCUAGUAGCUUAUUCCCUUCGAAGUUUCCCUUAGGAUAGCUAGAGCCUUUAGUGAGUUCUAUCAAGUAAAGCCAAUGAUUAAAGGCAUCAUGGGUGCAAUGGCCUAGACCUAUUCUCAAACUUUAAAUAGGUAGGAUAGCGCAGUUGCAUCAUUAAGUCAUGCCAUAAAAUCAAGAGCUCGAAGUGAGACAUUUUUGGUAAGUAGAACUAGCAAUACAGGAUGAAGUAAAAGCUAGGUUACAGUGCAACUAUGCUUUUACCUAGAACCCACAAGAGGUGUUGGUGGAUUAAGACAGUAUGAUGGUGGUCAUGGAAGUUAAAAUCUGUUAAGGAAUGUGUAACAACUCACCUACCAAAUCAACUAGCCUAAAAAUGGAUGGCACUUAACCGAACAACUUAUACCUGACUAUCGAGGCAAAGGCCAAGCCUCAAUGAGUAGGAGGGUGAAGUGGUUGCCGUAAAACCUAAUGUGCAAGCCCAGAUAGAGUAGCCGUUAGUGUAGAUCUUGGUGGUAGUAGCAAAUAUUCAAAUGAGAACUUUGAAAGCCGAAGAGGGGAAAGAUUCCAUGUGAAUGGCACUUGCAUAUGGGUUAGUCAAUCCUAAAAGAUAGGGGAAGCCCAUUGACAGUGCAUCUAGCAUGAGCUUAAAAAAAGAAUCGGGUUAAAAUUCUUGAACCAGGAUAUGAUAGUUAAUAGCAAUGUUAAGGAGUCUAAAGACAUUGGCGGGGGCCUUGGGAAAAGUUAUCCUUUCUGUUUAAUGGCCUACCCACCAUGGAAAUGACUUAGUCGAAGGUAGUCUAGCAACUAGAAGAGUACUUCACAUUGCAUGGCAUCUAGUGUGCCCCCUAUGCCCCUUUGAAAAUUCAAAAGAUCAAGUGCCGUCAGCAUGUAGUCAUACUUAUAACAACAUUAAGUCUCCAAGGUGAAUAGCCUCUUGUCAAUGGAAUAAUGUAGGUAAGGGAAGUCAGCAAAAUGGAUUCAUAACCUUGAGAAAAGGAUUGGCUUUAAAGGCUAGCACUCUUGGAGCUACUCCUAUAGUGAAAGUGGGUUACCACGUGCUGGCCAGGGGAUGGAUUGGGAAUGGCUCUCUUGGGGGCUUUCCACAAGCGAUGAAUAAUCGACUCAAAACUGGUAUAAACAAAGGGAUCUGACUGUUUAUUUGAAACAAAACAUUGUGAUGGUCCCUGCAAAUGCUCACACAAUGUAAUUUCUACCAAGUGCUUUGAAUGUCAAAGUGAAGAAAUUCAACCAAGCGUAGAUAAAUGAUAGAAGUAAUUAUGACACUCUUAAGGUAGCCAAAUGCCUUAUCAUCUAAUUAGUGAUAUGAAUGAACAAAUAAAUGAGAUUCCCAUAGUCCUUAUCUGCUAUCCAGUGAAACUACAACCAAGGGAAUUGGCUUUGUUAAAUCAACAAGGAAAGAAGAUCCUAUUCAGCUUGACUCUAGUUUGACUUUGUGAAAUGACUUGAGAUGUGUCGGAUUAGUGGGAGCCCUCAGGCGAAAUUGAAAUACCACUACUUUUAAUGUUAUUAUACUUAUUUUGAGAAUUAGAGGUGAGGCACAACCCCUUCUUUUGGACCUAAGGCUGGCCUCAAUCAGAUGAUCUGAGUAGAAGACAAUGUCAAGUAGGGAGCUUGGCUAAGGCAGCACAUCUAUUAAAAGAUAACGUAGGUGUCCUAAGAUGAGCUCAACAAGAACAAAAAUCUCAUGUGGAACAAAAGGGUAAAAGCUCAUUUGAUUUUGAUUUCUAAUAUGAAUAUGAACCAUGAAAGAUUGGCUUGUCAAUCCUUUAGACAUUUCGAGUUUGAAGCUAAAGGUGUUAAAAAAGUUACCAUAGGGAUAACUAGCCUGUGGCAGCCAAGCAUUCAUAGUGAUGUUGCUUUUUAAUCCUUUGAUGUUGGCUCUUUCUAUCAUUGUGAAGUAGAAUUCACCAAGUGUUGGAUUAUUCAUCCAUCAAUAAGGAACAUAAGUUAGGUUUAGACCAUUGUGAGACAAGUUAGUUUUACCCUACUGAUGGUAGCAUCGCAAUGGUAAUUCAACCUAUUAUGAGUGGAAUUGUUGAUUCACACAAUUGGUCAUCGCACUUUGUUGAAAAGCCAGUGGUGUGAAGCUACCAUGUGCUAUAUCAUGAUUAAAUGCCUUUAAGUCAGAAUCAAGGCUAGAAGUGAUGCAUGCACCUGCUACCUGAUUAUCGACCUACGACAUGUAGUAGGUGCAGCCCUAGUGAUAGGCAAGCUAUGCGAGCCUCUUUGGAGCUCAAUUACCACCGAGUGGUGGGUAGAAU